UUUUUAAUAUUGGAGUUAACAAUUUGUGGAGGUUUUUCUGCAUGUUUUCGUUUAAAGGCAUUUUAAGGAUGAAAAACUAUUUUUGUAUUUUUCUGUUGAGGAUGGGAUAUGGAUGGGAGCAGAGCACUUUUUUUUCCCCUGUCCUCUCUCAGCUUCCUUUUAUCUUCAUCAAGACUGAGUGUUGUAAAAUCAAAUGGAAAGACAGUCUCAGCCCUCCCCAGAUUUAUGCUGUUCUCAUUACCUGUGCAUGUGACACAAGUCUUAGCAUAAGGACCUCUCCUGUAGGAUAUAACUGAAUUCUGAGAUUAUUGCCUAUAGUGACUAAUGGGGAAUAGUUCUAGGUUGGGGAACAUGCUUUGUAAUAGGAUCAAAAUCUUUUCAGACUGAUCAGAUUUCUAGCAAAAAGCCCCAAACUGUUGGUAAAUCUACAUUCGGUUUAGAGCGUGGUGUGAUGAACAUCAUUUUUGGUGACACUAACAAUACUUGUGUGUUUCAGCAUAAGAAGAGCAGGCAAUAGGUGGAAGAAGAAUAAAGGAGAGGCUAAGGAGGUGAACUGUUAAAGUGUUCUGAAUACCUUAAAGCAUUUUUAAUCUUUCCUUUUAUUAAAAAAGGCAGAAAAAUCUUAGUUAUUCCUUUUAGGAAGAAAGCCAACAUACAAUAUUUCCUAGAUGUGUAGCUUUUGGGUUUUUGUUUCUUAACUUAAAGCUCUAAUUGGACUUGUGAAACCCUGACUUAAAGGGUCUACUGAAUGAAAACACAACAUAUUUGGAUGUAAACUUACUCCCUGUUAAGAACUUCAGUCAGUUGGAAGGACACAGUCGUAGUGCUUCUCUUAAAAGCUGUAGCAAAGUUUAACUUGUCUGCAAGUCAAUCUCGCAUUAUUGGUCACUGUCAGAGAUUGCAUACUGGGAUAGUUGGACCUUUUUUGGUCUGAGCCAAGAGUGCUUUCUGUCUACAAAACGUGUCAUGAAUAACAGGACUUUUGGAAGCCUGUAGAGGGCAGAUAAUUAGUAAUAGUUUGUAUUUAUAUGCACUUUUCACAUCUCUGUCAGGCAGAGCAUGUGGAUACACAUCCAUGCCAGCAAACAUCCAGUUAAAAGGGAUACUGCUUUUGCUAAGGAACACUUUGAUCACACAGUCCUCCUUGUUUAUUGUUUCUAUUCAGGAGUUUGUGCUGAUUUACUCCAUCUUCAGCUCUUUUCUUUAAGGGAUUCCAUCCUGUGCAGCCAAUAGGCGUGUGUGAUAUAGCUGCUAUCCUAGAAAUGGUACAAGUACAGAGAGAGAGUUAUUUAUUUCAGUCGCUGGACACCAAACAGCUUGGAUCUGGGACUCCAGAGCUAACAGUCAGAAAGAAUCCUGAAGGGUGCUCUCAGUAAGUGCUCAUUUUUGUCCUGCUGAUGUGAGCAGUUAAGCAUCACCUUAAGGGCUGCUGCCACAGUCAAACUCAGAUCUUCAGUCCUGUGCAUCCCUGAGACUUCAUUUCACUGGUGAGACCUUGCACAACGUUGGCACCUCUUUGCCACCUUGGCUCCUGAUUUGAGAUUGAUCUGUCCUGAUAUGUCAGAGCUUGCACUGCAAAUAUCAAGAAAGGAAGGAAGGAAUCUGAGAGGGAAGUGGAAAGUGAAAUUCAAUUCUGAUGAUGUUCUCUUUGCCUUCAGCAUGCUGAAGAUAGAGUCAGUGGGCCUUCCUCUCAGCUUUCCAUUUCAGAAUGUGGUGUUACGUUCUGGCAAAACGCCUUGCUGUACUCCCUCUGCUCACACAUUGUGAUGCUGGUUAGUUAGUAAUAGGACAAGUGAUCCAUCUGUCCAGCUGUUGGUUUGACUCAGUCUUGUGAGUGUGUGCAUAAAGGGUAACCUUUUUAUGCAUCCCUGGGCUUUCUGGAGACAGGACUGCUUACACAUAUAGCUUUGGAAUUCAGUUUUUUAAGACCCUAUUGAUGACAGCAAUAUACUUCAAUUUCAUUUCUGUGAAGCAUCCACAUUUCUUUUAAAUAUAACUGAAUUCUGAAUUUCCUGGUUUUGUCACUUUUGCUCUAAGAGAAAACAGUAUUGUUCACAUGGUGGUUUAAUUCUUAGAGCACCUAGCUGUAGCAAAAUUCAGAUUACUGCAUUCUGUUUGUGUGAAGUUCACUUGAAUAGUAUACUCAUACUCUGUUCCUUUCCAAGGUGUUUGCAGAGAAAUUCCUGUAUUCCUAAUAUGUUGGACAAGUUGCUUUUCUUCCUGUUCAAGAUUAUGAAGAAGCCCCAAAGUGAAUAAAACUCAAAGCAGUACUAUUUUUUCAGAAUCUUUAAGGAACUUGUCUUUUCACACAGUAGCAACCUUUCAUUUUUAAACAAAAUGAACAUUUUCACAAAGCUGAUUGUGCUAAAGCUUCCCCUAAAGCAUCCAGUAUGGAAUUCCAGGCAUUUUCAGAAAUUUGUUUGAGGUAUCUCAUGUAGUUUGACCAGAUAAAAUUUAACCCAGAUCUAGGAUAGAAUUCUCAAAGUUAAUUUUAAGAUAACUAAUAAGAAACAGCAAAAUAGCUGACUUCUCUCACCUGCAGAUUGGUUCAGGAUAACCACCAUAGCAAUAUUUGACAUUUGAAAGUUGCUCUGUAAAAUCCUUGUGGCAUUUCACUAUUGAGUUUUUCACAUCUGUUGCUAGCUGGUCUCCAGCAUGGAAGUCAGUAUCACUCAGCAGAAUUUUACUGUGUUAUGUGACACCUUGUUUCUCCCUUGUCUCCACUGCAGACAAGGCAUCCGCAGUUGUUCAUGCACAGUUACAUCUGAGGUAUGUCUUCUUUGGGUAAGGCUAUGUGCUGCAGCUUGGGUCAGAACCUGUAAGGAUGAGCUGCUCACUCUAGCUUGCCUGUCCCUUCAAAAAGCAGAAUCUCCUUACAGUAGGGACUGUAUCGGAUUGAGAAUGAUGCUGGUGGGUACCAAAAGCCAAAACUCCUAACAGGGCUUUGUUCCAAAGAUGGCUUCUGGUCCCAUGCUAUCGUUUGGUUUUGCAGACAGAUUGGAUUUUAUCCAUCGGACUGCUUCCAUUCCCAACACAAGGUGGCACUCGCCUGCUGAGAGAAGGAUUUCUCAGCCCUGCAGCCUGGCUCUCUUUAAAAGCUAGUGUGUAUUUGUUACAAGCUGCAUGGUCCUUUAUUGCUUUUUGCUGUGUGAUAUCCCGAGAGUGCAUCUGAAUGACACAUGGAGAAGAAAGCAAGCAGACCAGCAGUGAGCUGGAGGCAGGAUAUGAUCCAAGUUACAGAGCAAUGCUAGCCAAUAGGGAUCAGGGAAUAACUUGAUGCUGAACACAGCUGUGCUAUUGCUAGCUUUAAUCCUUUGCAUUCCACAAUGAGGAGAUACCUCCGUCAGCACUUUCUAGCCUUAUCCAUGCCUGCUUCUUUGAGUUUCUGCUGUUUCCAUUAGCAGAGUAGCUGGGAGGAGCAAGCAGGCUAAGCAGGUGGCAUGUGCUGCUGCACCUCACAUUCAGCUGGUAGCUGCUCAGAAGGUUCUUGGUCAAGGGGAGGUACUGGGGAAUGGAAGUGGGGGGGAAACAGGAGAAAGAAGCAAGCAAUGUAACAUCCUCCUGUUGUUUGCUGAGUCUGUAAGAAUCCUUUCUUGGUAAACAUCCAGCAUUAACACUUGCCUAAGGAAUGCUGCAUGGAUUCUUGGGGGGGAGAGGCUGUUGACGGGUCUUGCAGCUCCCAAAAUCAAGUGAGAACAAGUUGGCUGCUGCUAUCCUGCUGCUGUGUGAUACUUUUAAGUCAUUAUUUGCUCAGACUUUGCAAUUCCUUUCUAUGUGUUAUCAGUAUGGAGAUACUGGCUAUCUAGUCAACAUCUCUGUCUAAGACUGAUCUCUCAUGCUUGGUUUACUUGAUAUUCUUUCCCCGCGUUGCAAGGUAUUUAUCAUCUGAACCAAUCUAAAAGAUUUGUUUUAAUGAAAUCUUAGUGGGGACUUAGGAGGAAUACAAAUUGUGAAGACGUAGUUAAAUACUGUGUGGCCUUCUGCAGCCUUGGAUCUCAAGGCUUGUUACUGUCACAGAAACUGUGAGGUCUCAAGAUCAAGAAUUGCCAACAACGUGCCAGUAACCUCCCAUAUAUCACACUGAUCUUUCAAGGAGAUCUGAGCUGCUGUGCCAGGCUUAUAGAUAGAGACACUGGGGCACAGAGGAACUGGCUUUGUUAAUGGCACAUAGCAGGGAAGUGUCAGAUGCUGAUCUCAUAAAUAUUGCUCUUAGUGCAGAAAAAAGUCCUGAUACUCACCUGUCGCACUCUGUAUGGUUCAAGUGUUGCCUGACUGAAGAGGCAAGAGACUGUGUUAAACCUAAAGGUAUGUGGCUGGAUUUAACUGGUAAGGAAAUAAUCAUAGAUACUGGAGGGGCACGGACCUUGUAAGCAGAGCUCUUCCACAGCUGACUGUGAGAAGAGCCUCUGCCAAGGGAGACAGGAGGCAAUGUGAGCCCUAACAUCAGGUGCCCAGUUUCCAGAAUUAACUUUGGUAGAGGUGGGUUUGUGACAAAGACGGGGCGAUACUCUGUGGAGUCCAAGGCACUGGCUGGCAUCCUGCUUUGCAGCCCCAGCAGCAAAGUUGGCAGUCUCUGGAGAGAAGGAUCAGUUUGGUCUCAGCCAGAUGUAGCGACUUGUUUCUGUGCCUGGGAAUCAGGUCGCUUGCUUGCCUGGCCAGGAAAGGCUGCAAUAAGCUUCUUCUUUUUUUUUUUUUUUUAAUAGUCUUGAACUUUCCUACCUUGUAUUUAUUGCUUCUGCUCCUGUGUGUCCUUCAUGAGAUUUGCCUUACACAUCACCAAAGAAUUUGAAGUUUGGCUCCUGAGCUGUGUUCUGUAGCUUGUCACCAAUCUAAUAAAACUCUUCAAGACAAGGCCUUGUUCUUAUUAUGCAAAGAUUUGUAUUAAUGAGUCUUAAAUUAGGUAGGUAUAACUCCUAUCAUUAGAACAGUAAAAUAGUUAAGCAAUGCUUCUGUCUUACUGCUUGUAGAUGCCACAGAGGGAUAGACAUUUUCUUUUUUAUCUUAUGUAAAAGCUUUUCAUCCUUCUCCCCCACAUUUGAGCCCUAAUAUAUUUUCUAAAAAGUGAGUCUUCCACCCUUUUACGUUGACAUGCAGUUGCUUUCACUAAGAAUGUUUCUAGGCAGAUUGGAUUUUCCAAAAGAAAUGGAGUGCCCCUCACAGAGCCUGGCUCCUUAGCAGCUGGCAGGCAUGGGUGCUGCAGCACUUGAAAUGCAAGAUCUUGUAAGGAGUCCUGGCACUGCAAAGCAGCUUUAAGCAAACAGGGAAUGGUUGCAGCAUUUAUGACCUUUGCUGAUUGAAUUGUUGCAUGGUGUGGUGUUACUUAAUGAUUCCCUUAGGCUGUUAAGAAUCAGGCAAGGCUUUUUUUUCCCCUCCUUCCAUCACUAAGAAGAAGGCUUCCACAAAGUGGGCACAGACUGUACAGCUGGACAAGGUGAGUAACGGGUCAUAUUCCAUGAAUGUGGAAAGGUUUUGGUUUUUUUUCCCCAGUUCUGCUAUUGAUUCUUGUUUGCAGGCAAACCUUGUUCCCCCAUCUCUGCUCUGUGCAUUGUUCUUUUCAUUUUUAAUUGUGUAUUCUUAAAUUAUAAGUUUACUGUAGAAAAGUUCUUCAUGGAUUUAGAAGGAAGAGUUUAAAGAGGCAUCGGUGCCACCCGGUAUGAUAUGUGCUCAUGCAUUGUUAAGCUCAGCAGAACCUUUUUCCUCCCGGUCAGACUAGCGCUGCAUUACGUGGGUAUUUAUUGGCUGCUGUAACACACCUUUUUUGAACAGAUGGAUCUAAUCUUACUGCAAGAUCUUCAAGAGCUAGAUUCAUUGUGAAGAUUUUAACUGAUCUUAUGUAUCCUGAAAGAGCAAAGGGUAGGAAGUGAUGAAUAUUUCUCAGUACAAGAGUAUACUUUAAGAUUUUUUUUCCUUCUCCUCACUCGCAUUCACUGAAAUUUAUUUCUGUGACUAAAAACGUCAAGCCUUUGUAGCACUCGUGACCAACUGAUGAUCUCUGUCCUCUUCCCAGAAGAGAACCAUUUUUACCCCCAGCAUUUACUCUGACAAGCACUUGCGAGCGCUGCAGUUCUUGGAUGCUGGCCUAUUGCGCAAAUAUACGGCCAAUCCCACUGGCUGAGAUCAGAAGAUGCUCUGGGAGGUGCUUGGCAGCAGCACCAUUGCAGGGAGAAUAGAGCACUGCUGUUGUCUGUGCAUGCAUAUGCUGGAGUCCAGAGGGUACAGAUUCUCUGGCCAGGACAGCCAUGCUCAGAGGAGCAGCACAGGGACCUUGAACCCUCUCUGAUCAGAAUAACCUGGCAAAUGCAGGCACUGUCUGCCCUGAGCUCUAUAUGUCUCUUGUUUCCUGGAGCAGUUUGGGUUGUGAUUUUUUUUUUUUUUUUGUGCCAGUUUUCCCUAGGGGAGGGAGCAGGCCACGCAAAUGAUGUCAGGAGGCAAUGAAUCAGCUUACUGCAGCUUUAGCUAAAAGCUUUAGCAUUUCUUACGUUGCCAUGAAUUCCUUCUUUCUUUACUUUCCUCAUCUUCAGCUGCUCUUUCACUUUGACUUGUGCUAUAGCACUCCUGUACUAGCUAGCCCUUGGAUGCUGGUACUCUCUGAAGCACGUGCACAAGCUGCAUUCACCUCUUUCCUUUUUAAAUUGUUUCUCUAAUCACAGCAUGGUCCAAGGGUGCUUCUGACCCACAACCCAUUUCUGUCUCACUGGGCCCUAAGUUCAAGCCCACUUUUCUCUCUGCUCCACUGGUCCCUAAGUUCAAGCUGUUUCCUUCCUGGUGCUGCUUUCCUGUUCCUCUCUGAUCUGUGAGUUGCAGAGAGGCAGCCAGUGGCAACUCCUGCAGUCACUAUGGUGAUAGUGAUCAGACAAAGCAGGAUAUCAGUUAACUCAGGAAUUUGGGUUGCUUUGGUGAAAAUCUCCUUUUGAUACAAGCAGUGAGUAGCUUCCAGAGGCUUGCUGCUUCUUAAAUACGUAUGUGAAGGACGGCUGUCUGCCUAAUGGUCAAUUAUAUUUCCAGUAACACACCUACAGAAAACCAGAAGGAAAAUUACAAGUUGUGGAGUUCAAAACCACUGCGGCCCAAGUUUCUGUCUUUAUGGUGUGUGGGUUUUUUUGCUAUAUCAGGAAAAGUUCCAAAAAAUGGUUGUCUGGUUACUGCUGAAAGAAAGGUUACUUGCUGACUCUUUCUUUUGUUCUUUCAUUCUUUCUCCAAGUAAUAACCAACAGAGGCUAUAACAGAGCAAACCUUGUGAUAAUUAAGCAUCUGCUGCAUUAUAUCUCAGUACAUCUGAUACAAAAAGAUCUACUGACACAUGCUGAGAUUCUUAGUGCUGCUGUAAGCUGAACUGUUCUGGGAAGUUUUCCAGGGAACAAUGGGCAGAAUUGUCAAGGACAAGACAAGGAGGAUGGUGUGAGGUAUCUGCUCUAAAAGCAGACCUGAGAAGCUGCUGGGGCAGGGAGGCUGUCUGUGCACUGGCUGGCCUUCACAAUCUUGUUAAUUUUUAUCCUAAUGUGCCAGCACAAAGAUUUAUGAGUUGAGUGUAUGGGUGUGGAUGGCUGACCCUGAAAAUGGGGGAAAAACCUGGGCAAUGGAUUUUGCAGCAAAGACAUAAAGUUAUGCAGCUAUGAAGGGAGCAAGAUCUGCAGUUGUGUGCUUGGAGCUGGUCAGCUCAGGUAAGAGCAUACCCUGGGAUAUAAGCUGUUGUUUAAGAGCAUAGCUGUGGCAAUUACAUCUCUGCUGUGUUACAUCUCUGAACGUUUGAUACAAGGACAUCUACAGACACAUGCUGUGAUUUUUAAUGCAAAUGUCAGCUGAACCACUCUGGGAAAUUUUCCAGGAGUGGAAAUUUCCCACUCAGGGAAGACUUCCAGUGAGCCAAACUGUGAAGGGUGGUAUAAGGAGGACAGUGCAAGUUAUCAGGGCUAACAGCAGUGCCAGAGGCUUACUCUGCUAAAAAUGGAGGUUAAACAUGAGUGUGUAGUUUCUUUCAGGUCAGUACGAGUAGGCAUGACCCAGUGCUUGCAAACACUGUGUUCUGAGCAGUACUGAGUACACUAAGUACUCCAGUUUAAAACUCUGUAGGCCCAUGCUUAAGUCCCCUUUUCUGUAGAAGAGUGAGGCAGGAUGUCAGUUACAAAGUUAUGUAUGCCUGUUCCUAGGGUGAAGUCGUGUAUUGCCCUGAGCAGUGUUGCAGUUCACGAGGCAGAAGUUAGAGUAUGAUGGUUUACUUCUCCAGUGUUGCUCUGUCUUGUCAGUGAAUGUUAUCUGGGCCCGUCGUGUCAUCUAGUUCAUAUUGAUUUUGGAGCUUGGUGGGUGAUGCUACUCUGUGGUCAGGGUAAACAGCUCACACUGCUGCCAAAGUUCAUGAUAGCAGGUCUGAGUUGUCAACUCUGCUUCCAGUUUGCGUUGACAAAAUGGUAUAGAAAAGGGAGGUGAGUGAAGCAGUGCAACUGCUGUUGAUGUGUCCAUUCAAAGGGCAACAAGAGAGUCAGCUGAGUGUGAGUAAAUUCUCAUUUAUGAGGGCCUGACCUUAGACUCUGGACUUCCUCAGCCUUGAAAAAUCCCUGCAGGGCUAUGGAAUUACAUGUUCACUGAAACAAUGACUUGAACUUUGCUAUAAGCACCUUGUCUGCCUCAGCUGCAGCACAGUGAAGUGCUCUGAGAUAACUGCACGUGCCACCUCAGUUUAGAAGAAUCCAAUUUGCCAUCUCGUCAUCAACCUGUUGGCAAGUACCAUCCCAGGGUCAGUGCUCUCACAGAACUUAUCUGCAGGACUUUCUGUUCAGAUGACAUCUCUGGGCAAGGAAUUCCUGCUUCCUGUUACGGCUGGGUGUGCAGCAGGUUUUGUUUGUUGACACUGGCAAUCUUUCAGGCUUCAUCUUAGUGCCUUGCUAGCUCUAUUACGUGGAUGUUUCAUUUAGUAGUUUGUGCUUUAUGUCUCAAAUUCUUUUCAGACGGCCUUCCCACCUGCAGGCACCGCACUGCUUGAAGAUUAAAGUACUGUGGCACUUUGUGAUAGUUGUGCUCAGUAGGUUUUGCGGGAUUUCAAUUUCAUUGCUUUUAACAAGAGCCUGUUGGGGGUUUAUUUUUACAAAGGAAAGAAAGUUACCAAACAGGAUAAGAUGUCGAAGUUUUGGAUGAGGCCUCAGAUGGGGUCUGGCAGCAGUGGACUCUUAGUUCUGCUUGGAAACAAACCUAUGUACAGAAAAUGUUUCUAUUCAAGUGCUGUAAUCCUCUUCCUUUGUAAAGGAGCCUAAUUUAAAGCAUCAUAAAAGUGCUGUUAGGAGCGAAGGGAUGUUUGGUUAGAUAGCUCUUCUCUACUAUCAGUUCUGCAGGGCUGUAGUUGACAAGUUUUCAGUUCCACUGUGGGACAAAGCAACCCUCUUCCACAGAGCCCACGGGUGGCAUUUUUCAGUAAUGCCAGCUGAUAUAAAUGCUGCCACACAAACCAGUGGCUGAUUUGUCCCUGACCUCCAAAGCAGCAGCUCUAGGCCAACACGCUCCAUCAAACCGUUCCCUCAGGCUCUGUAGGUCUUGUGUUGCUGUCCUCCUUUUGAGGCACCAAGAGAAAACACUCUGACAUCCCUGCUCUGAGAGCAGAACAUGCACCCGGAGUGGCAUGGGAUGGUGCUCUAAGCUGCUAAACAUACUGUGCAGGAAUAAAGCUGAACAUCUCCUUGAGAAUUCCAAUGACUAUUAAAAUUCACUGCUGGUGAAUGAGCAUCACUUGUCCUCUUUGAUACUUGCAGAAGUCCCCAUUGCUACUCUCAGAGUUGUGAGUAACUGAGGUUUUGUGACUUGAUGAUCAGAGACAGAAACGUGGCAGCUGACACUGUGAGCUUUAAUUGUUUCUGGUUGCAAGUAGUGUGUGUCCUGGUUGAACGUAGCCUCUCGCUGAACCCUUUCUGCUCUGUUUCUCAUUUGCUGCUAUGAUCAGCAUGCACAAACCUUUUCGCUGUGAGCUGAGGAAAUACAUAAGAGCCACAGUCCUUCACCCAGAGCAGGAGUGCAACUUCUUUUGAGACAGAGCAAACACAUUGGUCCUAGAGCCAGAUUUGAAAGCUUUGUUGUCUUCUAGCAAUUUCUUUCAGAGGCUUCAAAAAUAGAUUGACUGGAUGAAUCAGCAAGUGAAACAACAAAGAGGCUGUGCAAGCACUCCCAGGAAAGAUGGGAAACAAGAGGAGUGGGAGAUGCAAAGAAAGGCACAAAAGCAAAGCAGCAUGACCUUAGCAGGAGAGGAGAGAUAGGCCCUGAUGGCCUGGGAGGUGGAGAUGCAGUAGAUCCUGGCAAUGGAGAAGGGAGACCUUGAAAAGAUUGAAAGAUUGAACCGUACUGAGGAGGAAGGUGACUUCUGGGAUUUCCAGGCAACUGUGCAGCCGUAUUUUUGUGCAGCGAGUCAGAGAAACACAUGCACUGUGUGGUGGAAAGCAGAAAUCCAAGAGUUAAAUGAGUUUUCUGUUUCCUCUCCCUGUUUUAUGAAAGGUUUGCCCUAUCUCUGAAGUUGACUUCUCUAAAAGCUACUUCUUAAGGAGUGGUCAGUUUUGUAGUUCCUUGGAGUGUGGACUUCAAUUAAGCAUGUCAAUAUAAUGCCUUUGUUUGGAGAAGUGUUGUGCAAAAAUGGACAUCUGAGUUCUUUCAGCUGCUUAAAGGACAUUCCCCUCUACAAGCCAAGGCAUGCCAGAUUUACCCCUCCUGUGCAGCUUUGUGUCAUUAUUCAAGCAAGUGAUAUUUCUCAUCACGUUCUAGGCAGUGAUGGACUGGACCUGCCACUGAGUGAAAUCAGUUCUUCCACUCACUUAACAGAGUCGCAGAAAUCUGUAGGUUAGAUGUCCCCGUGCUCUUGAGUUGUUAAAGCCUUGAAGCUGCCCUAAUUUGUGUUGGUUUUGUUCUGCUUUAGGCCUAGAGGUGACAUGCAAUAGUUCAGGGCAGUCUAUUGGCUGGUGUGUUUCCAGAGUUUUACACUGCCACAUGGGCAACUGGCUCUGUGUCUGCCUCCUCCUCAAAUUGACACAUCUGCACUUCAGGUCAGAUUUAAUGCCAGUGAUGGUAAUUCACCACUUUCACUUCUAGAAGUGAAGUUUCUCAUCCAAUUAUAAAUGGGCAGAAGACUUUUCUUGCCAGUUGUGUUACCUGCCCAGAAGUGAUAAGAAUUAAUUGGAUGGGUGGAGAUGUUUCAUCCUCGGAGGACUUUGGGAAUCUUGCGAGGGAGUUUUUUCUGAUAAAAUGUGCAUCUUGAGGAUGUGGCAGAAAAAAGGGCUCUAUACUGUAUCUCCCUGUUUCCAAGCAAUUUUUUUUUUUUUCUCCUGGCUGUUAGAAGUGGUUAAACAGAUGGACUGCAGGACUCAGUGCUGUGGAAGAGAGACCAUCGUUUAAAAGCAGCCUAGCUCCCAAAGCCAUAUCUGGACCCGGAUCUGGUUUGGAAUAGCACCGAUUUUUCUCCUGGAAGUGCAUGUAGUCUCUGGAGUCAGUCAGUGAUGAGGGGUGAUGGCUGCAUCCCCUUGACUUAAAGCUUGUUUAACUUUCCUGCUGUGGAGCUGAUGUUAGUCUGCAGAUAAUCUACCACAUCCUAUCUGCCUCAUGCUGAUCCACUUGCUGUCAGGUGAACAAGUCCUAUCUUGGGCAGCCCUUGUGCAGGAUGCGUACCUGUGUUGGGCAGUCCCCCUCUGCACACUGCACACCCCUCCUGCAGCCUAUGGGAGAUUGAGAGAGAGCUGAUUCCAUGCAGGUAGGAACCAGCUGCUGCAGCGUUUUCUUUUUUAAGCAUAGGCCUGAAGCUGUGGCUUCCGUAGUGCCUUGCACAACCAGAAGAUUUAAAGCUGCUUUUUGUUUUUUGAUUUUAAAGAAAUAAGAAAACACUUGGUUAAUU